rnacentral:rRNA from 1 species
UCGCAUGGUUAGAGAGAUUAUGAUCCUGGCUCAGUGCAUGAACGCUAGCGAGCAGGCCUAAUACAUGCAAGUCGAACGGUGUAGCAAUACACAGUGGCGCACGGGUGCGUAACACGUAUGCAACCUACCUAUCAUUGGGGGAUAGCCUUUGGAAACGGAGAUUAAUACCGCAUAAGACAGUAACAUGGCAUCAUGUAGCUGUUAAAGCUUUGGCGAUGAUAGAUGGGCAUGCGUCCAAUUAGUUAGUUGGUGAGGUAACGGCUCACCAAGACGAUGAUUGGUAGGGGAUCUGAGAGGAUAAUCCCCCACACUGGCACUGAGAUACGGGCCAGACUCCUACGGGAGGCAGCAGUAGGGAAUAUUGGGCAAUGGACGGAAGUCUGACCCAGCCAUGCCGCGUGCAGGAAGAAGGCGUUAUGCGUUGUAAACUGCUUUUUUAUAGGAAGAAGGAGACCUUGCGAGGUUUGGUGACGGUACUAUAAGAAUAAGCACCGGCUAACUCCGUGCCAGCAGCCGCGGUAAUACGGAGGGUGCGAGCGUUGUCCGGAUUUAUUGGGUUUAAAGGGUGCGUAGGCGGUUUAUUAAGUCAGUGGUGAAAGACGGUCGCUCAACGAUUGCAGUGCCAUUGAUACUGGUAGACUUGAGUUCGUAUGAGUAGCUGGAAUGGAUAGUGUAGCGGUGAAAUGCAUAGAUAUUAUCCAAACUCCAUUGCGUAGGCAGGUUACUAUACGAUACUGACGCUGAUGCACGAAAGUGUGGGGAUCAACAGGAUUAGAUACCCUGGUAGUCCACACUGUAAACGAUGACGACUAACUGUUUGCCCUUU